CUUGGUCAUUUAGAGGNAGUAAAAGUCGUAACAAGGUUUCCGUAGGUGAACCUGCGGAAGGAUCAUUAUCGAAAUUAUUGGUGAGGGUUGUAGCUGGCCUUUCGAGGCAUGUGCACGCUCGAGCCCUUAAUCCACUUUACACCUGUGCACUUAAUGUAGGUCGCCCUUAAAAAAGGUGACCUAUGUCUUAUCAUCAACCCAUCGUAUGUCUCAUAGAAUGUAAUCGAUAUCCUCGCCCUAAAAAAGCGUUGAUAAACUUAUACAACUUUCAACAACGGAUCUCUUGGCUCUCGCAUCGAUGAAGAACGCAGCGAAAUGCGAUAAGUAAUGUGAAUUGCAGAUUUUCAGUGAAUCAUCGAAUCUUUGAACGCACCUUGCGCUCCUUGGUAUUCCGAGGAGCAUGCCUGUUUGAGUGUCAUUAAAUUCUCAACUCCAAGGGUUUCACGACCUUUCGGAGAUUGGACUUGGAGGUGCUGGCCGCAUAUUGGUCGGCUCCUCUCAAAUGCAUCAGCGGAAUUCAACCUUUGGCUUCCGGAUGUCAGUGUGAUAAUCAUGUUGCGCUGUCGUUUGAUCCCUCAGAGUCCGCUUAUAAUGGUCUUCGGACAAAAUCAUCAUCAAAUUUGACCUCAAAUCAGGUAGGACUACCCGCUGAACUUAAGCAUAUCAAUAAGCGGAAG
rnacentral:rRNA from 1 species